ensembl:lncRNA
GUUCUUGUUCCACUCCUGCUUUUCUGCUUUGUAUUUUGAGCAAACGUUCUUUCUGGGUAACUGCAGGUGGGAAGGUCCCCUGAUUUUCUCCAGGAGCUGCAGGAUACUCAGGCAGAAAUGGACACAGGAAUUGCUACCAGUGAGAAAAAGCUCUGCUCAAAGGAAAAGUCCUGCUGAGAUGGUGGAUGGACUCAGCUCCUGCUCAGCUGUUGUGAGCAAUCACUCUGGCUGCAGGGGAGAAGUAAGACUCCGUAAGCACCUGCCACAAAAGAAUAGGUGUAAACUUACCACUGAACAAGACAAAACUACUGUGCUACAUGGCUUUGACUACCAUUCACACUGAGCAGAACUCUUCUAAUCUGCAAAUACUGCAAAAUAAAAAGUGCAGAAGAAACCCUUGGGUCCAGUACCAAACCCUAAUGAAGACUACCAUCAAUUCAAUAAGCUCAGUAUGACACUUUCUUAAUGACUUUAUGCCCUUCGUCAUAAUGCAGCCACAAAACGAAGUGAUAUUCUGAGUGCAGCAAGAAGAUUAAUUCCAACUCUGCAUGCUAAGAGAAAAAUCCACGGCUCUGUCAUUGUGUAAACAAAAAAUGUAAAUAAAGGAAAAAUUAAGAUGUUU